GGUCGUUUCGGUAUCGAGCAUCGACUCGGACGUUAGCGAUCGUCGUGACGUACGCGAAGCACUUUAUUCCGGGAUAUUUCGACGCCACAGAAAAACUAUACUCGUACUUGGGAGUUUUCUCAAAAUGCUCAGGCCAGCAAGACGUGCGGAAAGUAUAUAUAAGAAAAAAUAAGAAAUCAACGGCAGCGGAGCGUUUCGCGAGUUAGAAUCAAGGGAGAAGGAGCGAUUGACCGAGCUUAAUGAGACGAAAAGGUGAAUAAAUAUAAACUCAAAGGGUGUUACGUGUAUAGAAAUCGUAGGAGGAGAGAGCGACUCGUCUCAUCCGAGGUUACGCUCAUUCAAAAGGAUCGAGGUUGUCGAUCUAAAUGAAACAAAUGAUAUUCGAGUAUAAAGAAGAUAAAAGUAGCCUCUAAAUAUGUAAGUUGUAUUAUAUAAACUGCGAGUUUUUAAAGAUUCAAGUAUCAAAUGCAAUGCCUUAUCCGUCAAUAGACACUCCGCAUUCAUUAUUUCCGAGUUGAAAUUUGUCAAAACUCGAUGAGAAGAAAGAGACACGGUCACACCGAGCGGAGAGGAGAAAAGCACUUUUCUCGGGCGACUCGACUCUCGACAGGCCUUUCCAAUCAGCAUAUUUUCCUCCAUUUACAUUCUCGCGUUACAACUGCCAAUGGAGAGAAACAAACAAAAGAAAAUAGGCAGCUAAGCGAGAAGACGAGAAAAUUGAAGGAAACAUAUUUCCUACAGAUUCGAGAGUAAAUAAACCGUAGAGUUAGAGCGCAGCCUGUCAUCGCGAAGCAAACCGCUCGUAUAUGUAAAACGUACUCGUAGAAAGCGAAAGUAUAAAUUCAAACUCUUCGUUAACGAUAAAUAAAUCCGACAUAAUAAUAAUAAUAAUAAUAAUAACAACAAUAAUAAUAAUAAUUGUUACGACGAGAGAAAACAAAUAUAUUGACGAUGUACAAUCAACUUCGAAUCGAACUAAACGUAACUCGAAGACUGCGUGUGCGUGGGGCGGCCCCGUUUUCCAUCGAAACGAAAAAAUCAUUGAAAAGAAAUAGGAAAAGAAAAAAAAAGUGAAAACCCACGUAUUUCGAUGACUGCGUGGCGACCGACUAGAUCGAAUAUUGCGUAGAGGUAAUUUCACUCCGACGACGUAGAAAGAUCGAUUUCCGUUGUUUUCAUUAUCUUUAGCUCCCCAACCGACAAAUAUAAACGAAUCCAUUCGAUAGGCUGUUUUGCAAAGAUACUCGAAAAUUCUUAGCAUCCAGAGUUUAUCCGGACGCGGCGGGGGAAAAGAAUUCCGGACUUUCGGGUCGUCGUUUAUCUCCAAAAACGCACGAAAUCAUGAAUCAGAAAGCCCUCAGGGACGAGGCUCGUGAAAAUGUUGAAGAGAAACGACACGGAAUACCGGACUUCGAGUACCUUGGGAAUCGUCGAGGCUCGCGAACUUUUUAGGGCGGUUUGAAAAUAAAAUUCAAUUCUCGAUGUUUACGUUGGCACGGAAUUCCCUUCAUUCGAUAUGUGUAUAUAUGUACUAAAUGCAUAAAGAAGAAAAAGAAUACCAAGAAAUAAUGAUGUAUUGGACACACUGAAAACAGCAGUGAGCUUUUAGUCGUUAUUUAUACGAAUGAUAAUUUAUAUAAAUAUACAUGAUGAAAAAAAAAAAAAGUUGAUGAAUUAAAAACGUGAGUUUAUGUAAUGAAUAUUUAUAUGAAUGAUGAUAGUAAAAGUAUGGGGAGAGAAAGAAGAACUCGGAACGAUCAAUUAAGCAAAAGGGGAAGGUAAAGAUCCAAUUAUUUCAUCGUCAAAGACUGAGGAGCGCAGGAUUAUUGGUGGAGAAACACAAUAGAGCGCAUGCUUUUUGCUAACGAGACCCUAAGAGCACUUACGAGAGUUAAUAAUAAAAGUAAUAAAAUAACGAGACAGAAGCUUUUUACGAUUUUUGACAUUUUUGCUAUUCGAGCGUCGCGUGUCUAGAUGCAGCGUCAUUUUUACAAGUGUCUUCGGCUAAUAUCCGUUUUAUAAUGCAAAAGGAAAUUAGAUAUAUAAAAAAAAAAAAAAACUAAGAGAAAAGGAGGAAAACAAAGUUUGUCUUUCGGUUGAAAUAAUAAAGACUGUGAAACCUCAUCGAACCACCACGAUCAUCAAUCAGACACCAACCUAGUUCGCUCGCUGUCAUCCGGUCAAGAGAAUAACGAGAAGGGAGGAGAAAUCGCCCACUUCGCUGUUCACGCACGUCGAACGUAACGUCGAACAACAUUAUUUCACGAUUUUCAUCCUUCGCCAAAUUUAGUCUUUUUUAUUCUCAACGAGUAGAGUAGAAAUUGAGAACGAAAGUGUCAGUUGUAGCCAGAUAAACGUGCGUAAAGCUUGACCAAUUUGUACGCGGAGCUGAAUUUUUUCAUCGCACCAAGUAUACCAUGAAAAAAUGAUAAACUGAAAAUGAAAAUCAUUCGAAAAAAUGGGAGCUACGAACGAAAUAAUCGAAUUCACGAAACCGCCUCGUACACUGAGAUCGAAUUGUUGAAAAUCUUAUUACGUAAGACCCGAUACGUUCACCGAAAAGAUUGAAAAAUGUAGAUGAGGCCCAUCGAUAGAACGAAUUUGUAGAAUAAAAAGCGCAGGAAUUCCGAUGAGUCUCGUCUUCGACGUACCGGAAUGUCGUUGCAUCGUUAUCGAUACGAAAAAAAAAAACAAACAAAAAACAAACGGAAGAAAAAAAAAUGAAAAACAAAUAGAUUGUAUACAUCCAAAUAUCACUUUGUAUAAACGUAUCGUUAGUCAUUGCGCGUGUAUCACGAACGACGUGUCAUUAUUGUAAAUGCGAUGAAAAUAAGAAAGAAUAUUGAAACAUAAAGUAACGACGAUUGGAAAUAAAAAGUAUAAGUGAUGACAAA